rnacentral:rRNA from 1 species
GACGAACGCUGGCGGCGUGCCUAAAACAUGCAAGUCGAACGCGAGGGCCCUUCGGGGCCUGGGAGUGGCGAACGGCGGAGUAAUACGUAAGCAACGUGCCCUGAAGUCUGGGAUAUACCGGGGAAACCCGGGGCAAUACCAGAUGUGGUCGCGACCCGGCAUCGGGACGCGAUUAAACGGUUUUUCGCUUCAGGAGCGGCUUACGGCCUAUCAGCUAGUUGGUGGGGUAACGGCCUACCAAGGCUUCGACGGGUAACUGGUCUGAGAGGACGACCAGUCCGAGUGGGACUGAGACACGGCCCACACACCUACGGGUGGCAGCAGUUGGGAAUCUUGCACAAUGGGGGCAACCCUGAUGCAGCGACGCCGCGUGGAGGACGAAGGAUCUAGGUCUGUAAACUCCUGUUGCCAGGAAAGACUUAGGACGGUACCUGGCGAAUGAGCUCCGGCUAACUACGUGCCAGCAGCCGCGGUAAUACGUAGGGAGCGAGCGUUGUCCGGAUUUACUGGGCGUAAAGGGCGCGUAGGCGGUCCGUUU